UACGGGGGGGGUAAGCGUUGUUCGGAAUUACUGGGCGUAAAGGGCUCGUAGGCGGCCAACUAAGUCGUACGUGAAAUCCCUCAGCUUAACUGGGGAACUGCGUGUGAUACUGGAUGGCUUGGAUUUGGGAGAGGGAUGCGGAAUUCCAGGUGUAGCGGUGAAAUGCGUAGAUAUCUGGAGGAACACCGGUGGCGAAGGCGGCAUCCUGGACCAAUAUUGACGCUGAGGAGCGAAAGCCAGGGGAGCAAACGGG
rnacentral:rRNA from 1 species